GUUGUGAUGGUAGGGUAGUAAGUAAUAAUAAUAAGAAGUGAGAAAAGUUCCUACAAAACACUGAAAAUUAAUAUAAGAAUAGAAGUAAUUCAGAAAAAGAGUGAAUUCUGAAACUAAAUAGGCUACUUACAGUUUUUCUCAAUUGCUAACACACAAUUCAUGAAACAAUUCACCAUUUUCAACUAUAAACACAAUCUCGUAACUACACACCAACUUGUACAAACAUCAAACUUCCUCAUCAGAAUCAAAUAUUUCAGUCAAAAACUUAUUCACUUCUGUCAAAAUCAAACUUUGGGCUCAGACGACACACAAAACCUGCAAAUACACAGACUACUUUCCUCACUAGUGAGAUCAAUUCAUAACACUGUAACAAAAAUAUCUCUUAUUGCUAUUCAAGAAUAAUUUGGCAGCUCAGUGUCUAUUACAGUAUACAACAUAAAUGAAAGAGUGCAGAUAGAGUACAAUGCAACAAUGAACUUCAGGAAAAAUUAUUUUCAUUUCACUACUGUAAAGUGAUCUUACAGGAAAUGAAAGUAGAUGAAGUAGGCUAGUUGAUCUUACAGUUUUUUUUCAACUGCUUACACACAAAAUCUUUACUUGUCACACAAUUUCUGAAACCUGACACUCAAACAGCAGAACCACACACCAAAUCUGCAAAACCAUACACUAAUUCUCGGCCUUCGACUCAGUUUUCAAUUUCAUAAAACACUUUUUGCAAAACACAACACACAAUUCUCUAUGUAACACACAAAAAUCUAACAGGAUGUAUCUUGAUUUCCUUUUUCAAACACAACCAAUCAAGAUGCCACACUAAUUCAUCAGUGCCUCACACUAACUCCUCACAUGUGCAAACACUCAUUGCUUUACUUAACACCAACCAAUCAUGGCUUUAGAAUAGGCCUAUACAUAGGCCAAAGGUCAAGUUAUAGAUUUUGAACAACUUUUCUGUUGUUUACUUGCUUCCAUAUUCAUCAUUUCUAAACCCUAUUGAGGAAUUUUUCUCCACAUGGUUGCUGGAAAGUGCAUGAUCGUCAUCCCUAUGUCAACAUAACACUUCUCCAGGCAAUGGAGGAGGCAUGUGGAGACACUGACGCUGCCUCCAUCUAAGGUUGGAUACGCAAGAGAGAACAUAGCAUGUGACGUGGAUGAAGUAUUGUGGCCGGACCAAGCCAGGAGGAGAGAUGAAGCCUAGAUACACCCAACCAUCUCGCUCACCAACAAACACACACACAACACACACAUGUUGGGUUUCCAUGGCAAAUGCGUUUGAAAAGUAAGACAAAUGUUUGCUUUUGAGAUGUGUUUGUGAUAUUUUGAAUGCAUUGCUUCAUUUUGCAAGAGAUGUGAGGCAUUUUGCAUUUUGUGUGUGCAGUUCUUGGAUUUGUGUGUAAAGUUUUGAAAAUGUGUGUAAGCAGUUGAAAAAAACUGUAAUAUAUUUGAAUAAAUUUGACAAUCACAAAUUUGAGGGUGCACAUGUACUACAGUUUACUGGACACAGAAUAGUGAAAUUUCUCUCAUAUAAAGUACUGUUUCUGUGUACUGUAAUUAUACUGUAAGUAGUAUAAAACCCUGUCGAUGAUUCUAGGAUGCAAUUUCUAAAGCACAGUCACCUGUGCUCCUGUUUAUAUUAUCCCGAUAUCCCGAGAUUCUGAUUGGUGUGUCAUCAUUUUUGCUACUGAAUGUUUACUGAUGGAUAAAUGUGUGCUAUUUGAGUUUACAUAGUGACACUUGAGUUAAUUAUACUAUGUGUUUGUGUUUUCUGAAUGAGAACAUGGUUAAACCACUGUAAAAUAAGGGCAUUUUUUUGUGUAGAGUUUUGCAGAAAUCAUUAAGAAAAUUGAAAUGUGUGUGAAAACAAGUGAAACGUGUUUAUAGUUUUGAGAAAUGUGUCUUUGUUUUGAGAAUUUAAUGAAUGGUUUGGGAAAUUGUGUCAAUGUCAUAGACGGUCAAUGUGUUAGCAAUCGAGAAAAACGGUAAAACUCUCAAGAUGGGUUAACACAGGUACCAGAGCAUUAUUUGCCUUGAUUAAAAUAUGUUUGCUAAAUAUGACAACCGACUAAUUAAUCAUUCAUAUUUAUCGUAGGCUAUUGCGCAAAGGACUUUUAUUUUGAAGUUAAGUUACAUCUGCUAGUUCUUUAAUAGGUUGUUUGCACAUGACGUCCUUGCAGCAGCGCGAAUGAGUCUGGAGGGCAGGGAGUGAUUUUUCUAUAUAGGAAUCCUAUCAAAAACUCAAAAUUCGUAUUCGUACUCGUUUUUUAUAACUUAUUUCAAUUUUUUAAGUUGUCGCCUUUUAUAGCGUUUUGCGUCUGCUGAUACUGAAAUGAAUAUGGAUACCUGCUUAACUUUUGUUUUUGACUUAGUUAAAUAUUCACAUUUUCAUACAGGGAAGAGAAGCUAUUUUAUCCCACUGAAUGAUAAUUUGGUGUUUUCACUUCAGUUUUGUAGAAUUCCGUUCACAAUGUUGAUCUGGUUACCGUGAGAACAGUGUCACGCGCUGCUGCUUCAGCCAUCAUAUGGUAGAAAAUGUCCAAAUAAAAUAAAUGUGUUCAACAAGCUGACAGAAGUCGAUCCAUUUAUUUGUUGGAAGCGUGUAAAUGUAACUGUAGUUUUAAUGUUGUCUUUGUAAAUAUUCACUUUCCCAUAUGGCCAAGAAUUAAGGAGAAUCGGAGGGUCACAUUCAGGGGACAGACACUGUAUUUUUGUAUUUAUUUCAACAAAUGACAACCAAAAUCAAACCCGUGAACAGUUUUGAAGUGAACAGUUUUGAAGCUCGUGAACAGUUUUGAAGUGGCUGUGUGCAAGUUAUAAUUAUUCACAAGCGAACGAGUCAUACUCGCAAAUGUAAUGUUAAUUAUUACACAAAAAACAAAUACAAAACUCAGCUAAAUAUGUGAUUAUUUUGAGUGAAAGGCAGUGGGUUUAUUCAGUGACAUUAUUACAUUUGCUAAACGUCGUCUUCCCUCACCUCCUCAAACAAGGCGAAAAUUGUAUUACACCAUCCAGUUUCAAUUCAGUAGAAAAGUCGCUCCUCUUCAUAACAUAAGGAUCACGUCCAACAUAUGUUGUGAUUUUCUGUUUAUAUCUUUCUAAACCAGCACAGUACGGACUUUUCUCCAUCUCUUCCAUUCUAAUUUUCACUGCUUGCCCUCCACCGGAAUUUCGCGCGUCACCAGAACCACGUGAUUUCAAACAACCUCUCUCUCUCUCUUUUUCUGCACUGGCUCUGAAAGUACCAAACACCGACACAGGAUAACAGGAAGUUGUGCAACAAGCCAUCACAGUCCAAUUUCAGAAGUGAUUUCAUCUCAUAAACAGCUUUUCUCAACCUGAAAGAAUGUUUCGCACCAAUGAGAGAGACUGUCGUGAACUAUUCUAUAAGGGGAAGCACCUGAAGCUUGAAGAGCUCAAACAGAAGCAAAUUUCGAAUAAAUACCUCAAUAAUAAGUGGAUUCCAUCAAAACCUGAGGGGGUGGAAAUUAAAGCGUCAAACCUUCGGCAUGACACUAACCUCCAAGGAUACCAUGGCAUCUGGAACUCUGAUGGGUUUAAAAAGCCGACACGAAGCGACUCACCAACACGCGAUCUGGUUUGGUGGAGCCCAGACAUUUCGAGACAUGAAAUUACUAUAGCUGAGGAGCAAUAUUUGAAUGAGCAAGAAUUUUACUACGAAGUGAAACCUUUCCUGCAUAGGUUUACCUCAUCCCCUGCCUUCCUGGCAUCCUCUCGCAUGGGGAAUUUCCGCUUCAGCAUGCCAAUCCAUGAGUUGUUAAAAAGCUACAAAGAACAGUUCUGUGAAGGCCAGAAGCCCCACAUUCGUGUUUUUGAGACUGUGGUCUAUAAGCAGGAAGUGAUGUAUUCUAUUGUGAUUCAUGCACCUCAUGCCCAAGGCCUGUUCUUGAAGUAUCCCCUGCUCCGGAAUACCCAAGAUGCAGUGUGUGAGUUCUAUAAAGACUCCAUUAUCUGGCGUCCACAGGCAAUGAGUAAAACACAUUGUUUCUGUCUGUCUAAGGACAUGGAAGCUAUUCGGAUACCUGUAAGAGCCAGACAAAAUUACAUGUGGGAUAACAUCGGAGUGGCCUUCCAUGUUCCACAUGGACAAAUCUUCAGCUUCAGCAAGAAAAUUCUGAGUGAGAGUCUCAGACUCUGUGAGGGCGCGGAGCCAAAACUGAACCCAGGAGAGUUUGUGAAGUGUGAGUUUGGCCCCAUCAGGCCUUAGAGUAAAUAAGUAUUAUAUGAGUAUUAAAAGUCUAAUAUGAGUAUUAAAAGUCUAAUAUGAGCAGAAGGGUUUUGUAAUCAUCUAUAAGUAUGAAAGGUAUGUGGAGGAAAUAUUUCUUUUUUACCUGCUGUUUUACUAUUCUGAGAAUAUGUUUCUUUCUGUCCAUGCUGUUUUAAUAAAGCACUGAUGCUAAGGA